rnacentral:rRNA from 1 species
AUUGAACGCUGGCGGCAUGCCUAACACAUGCAAGUCGAGCGGAUGAAGGGAGCUUGCUCCUGGAUUCAGCGGUGGACGGGUGAGUAAUGCCUAGGAAUCUGCCUUGUCGUGGGGGAUAACGUCCGGAAACGGGCGCUAAUACCGCAUCCGUCCUGAGGGCGAAAGUGGGGGAUCUUCGGACCUCACGCUAUCAGAUGAGCCUAGGUCGGAUUAGCUAGUUGGUGGGGUAAAGGCCUACCAAGGCGACUAUCCGUAACUGGUCUGAGAGGAUGAUCAGACACACUGGAACUGAGAAAGGGCACAGACUCCGACGGGAGGCAGCAGUGGGGAAUAUUGCAGGAGGGGGGAGUGCCGGAUACAGCCAUGCGGCGUGUGUGAAGAAGGACUUAGGAUGGGAGAGCACUGUAAGUUGGGGGGAAGUGAAGUAAGUUAAUACGGGGCUGUAUUGACGGUACCAACAGAAUAAGCACCGGCUAACUUCGUG